GCCGAAGGAUGUGGCUGCGGCCGAUUAGGUAGACGGUGGGGUAACGGCCCACCGUGCCAAUAAUCGGUACGGGUCAUGAGAGUGAGAACCCGGAGACGGAAUCUGAGACAAGAUUCCGGGCCCUACGGGGCGCAGCAGGCGCGAAACCUUUACACUGCACGACAGUGCGAUAGGGGGAUCCCAAGUGCACAGGCAUAGCGCCUGUGCUUUUCGGUACCGUAAGGUGGUACCAGAAUAAGGGCUGGGCAAGACCGGUGCCAGCCGCCGCGGUAAUACCGGCAGCCCAAGUGAUGGCCGAUCUUAUUGGGCCUAAAGCGUCCGUAGCUGGCCGCGCAAGUCCAUCGGGAAAUCCACCUGCUCAACAGGUGGGCGCCCGGUAGAAACUGCGUGGCUUGGGACCGGAAGGCGCGACGGGUACGUCCGGGGUAGGAGUGAAAUCCCGUAAUCCUGGACGGACCGCCGAUGGCGAAAGCACGUCGCGAGGACGGAUCCGACAGUGAGGGACGAAAGCCAGGGUCUCGAACCGGAUUAGAUACCCGGGUAGUCCUGGCYGUAAACAAUGUCUGCUAGGUGUGGCUCCCACUACGAGUGGGUGCUGUGCCGUAGGGAAGCCGCUAAGCAGACCGCCUGGGAAGUACGUCCGCAAGGAUGAAACUUAAAGGAAUUGGCGGGGGAGCACUACAACCGGAGGAGCCUGCGGUUUAAUUGGACUCAACGCCGGACAUCUCACCAGCAUCGACUGUAAUAAUGACGACCAGGUUGAUGACCUUGUCCGAGUUUCAGAGAGGAGGUGCAUGGCCGCCGUCAGCUCGUACCGUGAGGCGUCCUGUUAAGUCAGGCAACGAGCGAGACCCGCACCCUUACUUGCCAGCAGUAUCGCGAGAUAGCUGGGGACAGUAGGGGGACCGCCGUGGCUAACACGGAGGAAGGAACGGGCAACGGUAGGUCAGUAUGCCCCGAAUGUGCUGGGCAACACGCGGGCUACAAUGGUCGAGACAAAGGGUUCCUACUCCGAAAGGAGACGGUAAUCUCAGAAACUCGAUCGUAGUUCGGAUUGUGGGCUGCAACUCGCCCACAUGAAGCUGGAUUCGGUAGUAAUCGCGUGUCACAAGCGCGCGGUGAAUACGUCCCUGCUCCUUGCACACACCGCCCGUCAAAGCACCCGAGUGAGGUCCGGAUGAGGCGUUCCACGAACGUCGAAUCUGGGCUUCGCAAGGGGGCUUAAGUCGUAACAAGGUAGCCGUAGGG
rnacentral:rRNA from 1 species